ACUAUGUAUUUAGUAAUUGGAAUGAGUACAAUUUAAAUCCCUUAACAAGUAACAAUUAGAGGGCAAGUCUGGUGCCAGCAGCCGCGGUAAUUCCAGCUCUAAUAGCGUAUAUUAAUAUUGUUGCAGUUAAAAAGCUCGUAGUUGAAAUUUGGAACUUUAUUAUAUUGGUUUAUCUUUUGAUGAACUGUAUGAUGGGUUUCUUCCUACUAGAGUUCGAUUCUGUUCUUAACUGAAUGGAGUAGUUAUCUUUCGGGGUGGUCAGUUGGUUAUUAUAUCUCCACUAAUAAGCAGAGAGGGGUUAAACCUUUGAAGUGAGUUAUGUGGGUCAAGGUAUAAUGAUUAAUUGGAGUUCUAGUUCAUUUUACUUUGAGAAAAUUAGAGUGUUUAAAGCAGCCUCUUGGGGCACUGAAUACAUUAGCAUGGGAUAAUAAAAUAGGAUCUUCACAAUAUAUUUUAUUGGUUUAAAUUAGCGUAUGAAGAUAAUG
rnacentral:rRNA from 1 species